UUUGUUUAAAUUACAUGACUACUAAGUUGAUUUUUUUUAAUUUUAAUUUUUUUAAAUGUCACAUUUGUAUUUUUUUAUUUCAAUUUUUUAAUUAUUAAUACUUUAAAAUAUGUAUAAAAACAACAACUUAUCCUUCAUAUAGCUUAAAGUAUGUCGUGGUAUUGACAUUUAGAUGUUUUUCUAAUAUUUAAUUUUUUAAAUUAUAUACACCGUCAAUAUAAUAGCUAUGAAGUAAUAUUU
rnacentral:lncRNA from 1 species